rnacentral:lncRNA from 1 species
AAAACUCCCUUUAGACAUUCUUCUAAGUUGGAGUCGCUGGCAACAAAUUCUCUUGGUUUACUGAGAUUGUCACUGAAUGCCUGGACCACACAGCCCUGGCUCCUGAGGUCCCAACAGAUUUGGCCACCUGCUGCCUGCAAGAUCCAAUGAGAGAGAAGAAUGGUGGUGAAACAGAGAAGGGAUUCAUUUUUGGCAUAGUCAUCUGGAAAGACAGCAGGUCUACUGAACUCCUAAGAAAACUGCAUCCAAAAAAAAGAAAACUGCAUCUGAGGCAUGGACAGCAGCUCCAGGAUUAUACAGCAGAAGAACUACAGUAGGAGGCAAAAGUAUGCAGCCAGGCACUCUUGGUCACACUGGGGUACAGUCCAGUCCCACAAGGUCACACUGUCACCAGGGAAGAUGACUGCUUGCAAGUUUGCUUUUGGAAGACACUUGGGCUGGCACAUGCACUCUGUCUCCCCGCCUGACACCCUCUGCUGUGUCCAGAUGCAGCAAAAUGGCCUCCCCUGAUGAUGUGCAGACCCCAGCACCUUGCUCUCCUUCCCAGCAUCCAGAACCACGAGCCAAAUAAACUUCUGUUCUAUACAGAUCAUCCUGCCUCAUUCCUAUUUUAUACCAGUGGAAAAUGGACUAAGACAGCUUUCUUCUUU